UACGAAGGGAGCGAGCGUUGUUCGGAAUCACUGGGCUUAAAGCGUGCGUAGGUGGAUUGGUAAGUAAGGAGUGAAAUCCCAGGGCUUAACCCUGGAACUGCUCUUUAGACUGCCUGUCUGGAAUUCGGAAGAGGUUGGUGGAACUCCCAGUGUAGAGGUGAAAUUCGCAGAUAUUGGGGAAGAACACCGGUGGCGAAGGCGACCAAACUGGUCCGACAUUGACACUGAGGCACGAAAGCGUGGGUAGCAAACAGG
rnacentral:rRNA from 1 species